UUGGAGGGCAAGUCUGGUGCCAGCAGCCGCGGUAACUCCAGCUCCAAUAGCGUAUAUUAAAGUUGUUGCAGUUAAAAAGCUCGUAGUUGAAUUUCGGGAUCAGAUUGUCGGUCGUGCCUCGGUACGCACUGGCAUUAUUGGUUCCUACCUUCUGAAGAACCGCGAUGUCAUUAAUUUGGUGUCGUGGGGAAUCAGGACUGUUACUUUGAAAAAAUUAGAGUGUUUAAAGCAGGCUUACGCUUGAAUACAUUAGCAUGGAAUAACGAAAUAGGACGUUUGAUUCUAUUUUGUUGGUUUCUAGGAUUGACGUAAUGAUUAAUAGGGAUAGUUGGGGGCAUUAGUAUUCAAUUGUCAGAGGUGAAAUUCUUGGAUUUAUUGAAGACUAACUACUGCGAAAGCAUUUGCCAAGGAUGUUUUCAUUAAUCAAGAACGAAAGCUAGGGGAUCGAAGACGAUCAGAUACCGUCGUAGUCUUAACCAUAAACUAUGCCGACUAGGGAUCGGAUGAUGUUAAUUUUUUAAUGACUCAUUCGGCGCCUUACGGGAAAC
rnacentral:rRNA from 1 species